GACAGCUGCAGACCCAUCUCCUGGUGAAUCAUUUGAUCUCUUGCCAGCCGUCUGAUCAGCUGAAAAGGCAUGGGUGAAGAUACUGCAGAUCCAUAGCCGGGGUCAUGAGCUCUGAUAUUUUGAUGAAAAAACUAAAAGAGGAAUGACUUCAGUCAGAUUGCUUCUACGACAUUGACAGGCCAGGAGAGCUGGGUGAGAUUCUCCAUUCUCCAUUCUCCAGCUAUAUGGAAAACUCAAGGAGGUGGCAGACCCUGUGGGGUUUUUUUGAGUGCAGUUUGCAUACCCCAUUUAAACCAAGCCUUUCAGUAGAGAAAAGCCUGGCAUAGAGAGUCUCCCUGUUCAGUGAUACAGAAGACCUGACUCUGCCAAGCUCCAGUGGUUUCAGCAGGUGCAGUGAUGUGUAGGGUCAAUGCCAGGAACAAGAUUUUGAGGAGAAGCUUCAGGAAACUUGAGAUGGAAGAGGAGAAGCUGUUAUGCAAACUGCUGUAGCUGUACUGAUAACAGGCAAUGUAAACAAGAAAUCCCCAGACCGUUAAACAACCUAUGAGCACCAGGAGUCCUCAAGGGUAUGCUUGGCUGGCACAGUUCAGCAAGGCCUCUUCUUGGAGAAAAUACCUCUUAUCUGGGUGGGCCACAUGGGCUUCCAGCAGGGUGCGGCCAUGGCCUGGGCUCACCUCAUCAUUUGACAGGACAAGUCACUGUGAUGCAUGUGUGCUGUGUUGUUCAGCUCUGUGUGAUAGCUCCAGGGCAAUGGCGAUUCAAAACAGCUGAUCACAUAGGAGGGGAGGGGGUUCCUAUUAAUGCCUUGCUCAGAACUUGUUUUCACAAGGAUUUUCCUUUUGCUGUCAUAUGUGGAAGAGCACAUCCUCAGACAAGGCCCUUCUAGCAAGCUCCCUAGUAAUGGUUUUUCUUAGAUAAGACAGUGAGUUGUGGCAAUCCAAAAACUGUUAUUCCCCCUUGCUUUCAUAAUAUUUACAGCAGUGUGAGCGUGCACACUCCCUCAGCAUGCACUGCAGACACUGAGACCGUGGAUCUGUGGCACACCUAGGCUCACCUGCCAUCAUUUAGCUGGAUCUGUAAUGUGGCCUCAGCUCUUAGGAUAAGCUGACUACUGAGCCAGGCUACACCAGUGAUAGUCCUUGUUUCUAAACACUCCCUCCCUCCCCACAUUUUAAACAUUUUCUUAGGAAGCCUGGGAAGUCCAUGUGAAUGAUUCAGUAAAGAAGUAACAAUCUGCAUAAGUGACACAGACUGACGUAGGAGUUUCCCAGAAAAGAGGUACUGGAGCUUAGAAAGUGAAUCUAUCCGAACAUUAUCACUGCGUCCCAUCAUUAUUGCAUGUAUCUGGAAUUCCCAGAUUAGGUUUCCUUGGUUCAUCUCCAGUCAGAAUCAAAGAGUGAAGCCUUUCUGACUGUAUUCAAAUCUUCAUAUCCCAGUUGCUCACAGGGGAGCUAGCUGAAGCUGGCCAAAGCUUCAGCUCAUACACCCAGCUUGUCCUGUGGUAAUGAGCUUGCAAGGAGAGGUGGUGUUAUGCCCUGAAACAGAAUCAGGACACACUUGAGGAACAUGCCUGAACUCAGAAUCUCAAAGAAUGUUCUCCCAUACUUGGUAAUACAUACCUUGGUUUAUGUGCAUCUAAGUCCAUGAAAAUGCAUGUUCUUUUCUUUGAGCUGCCAUCUUCAAAGAUUCCCAGCUCACAAAAAUCAUUAUCAGAAGUUAGGCAGCUGGUCUUUUCUGGUCUCUUUAAAUAUCAGCUCUACUCUGUAGAGUCUUCAGAUUGGACUGGCUGACUGUAGGCUCCUCACCAAAAAAGUAUGGGUGCCCAUAUCUAUCAGUGCCUGUAUGUUUGUGUCUGACAUCUGUCUGCAAGCUUUUACCUGAGUAACUUCUGAACCAAACCUGGCUCUGAAGCUUUGAGAACUGGUUCCCACUGAAAGAUACUGGAAUUAUUUAUCUUUUUAAAUUUUUAUCUAGAGAGCACUAAGAACCUAAUUUCCUAGCCCAGCAUCUUUAUCAGUUUAAAGUUAUUGACAUAUUUGUUAGUACUGAUGCAUCUGAUAUUACAUAGCUACAUUCCCAUGUCAGAUAAAUAGCCCACUGUGCAAUGGGAUACUGUCAUUUUCCAUCCAUUCUCAGCAAAUAAUCUAAUCAUGAACCUUGAAAGAGGCCAGGAAUGUAAGGCUCAGCAUACACAAGGUAUGGCUGAUCAAGGAUAGUUCUCCAAGGACAAUUCUCCUUAAAAAACCCUGACCUGUUUGAUAUGAAACUUCUGCAGGGAGCUACAGUUUCAGCAGACAUUUUUCCAUUUUUGAAAUGCAAAACAGGACUCCAUUUUCCAUCUAAUACAGCCUGUUAGCCAACAGUGGUAACACUGGUUGUCACUUAGGGCAUGUGAGUUGCAGAAGAGUCGCCCAUGAGCAGUGGCUGAAGUCAGACAUCAGGCAUCCUAGGUGAAUUCUUUCCCUGCCUGGCUAAAGGAUUAGUUUCAAUCCAUUGGUGGUUUGAUUCUCUAUGAAUAGAAGUAAUUACUGAGAUAAAGAAAAUUAAUUAAAGUGCCCAGUUGUUCUGGCAGUCAUCAGAGUCAAAAGAAGACUGAAUUCACAUCCUUACUUUAAUGGUUAAGCUUCCUGAGAACCAAACAGACUUAGGCUGAGAUAGGUGGUUGUGGAGCCAUAAAGGUGUUGUUGUUUGCUCUCAGCAGUUUGAUUUCCUGGCUCUCCACUGAGUAUUACAGCUUAAGGAUUGACAUCUAGGUCAAAACUACAUUUUGGUUAAUAUUCACAUUUCAAGGCCUAGUUGGGCUGUGAUGUGAAUCUGGCUUUGGAUUCUAACAGACCAAAGUCUCGUACAUUUGCGGAUAUCACAGAUGUUCUGCUUAGAACAGAUAUAACUUAAAAACAGAACAGGAAACCAAACCCAGCCAGAUCUGACUGCAACACAGAAAACAGACUGGACUGGUGUUUUCAUAACUGUACUUUGUACACCCAGAAAUCAAAGGCAUUUUAGAUCUUCAUUUUUUUGGUUUGGCUCAUUGUUAAUGAAAAGCUCAAUAGUACCUAUCCUUUUGGAUCAGAAACAUGAGCACAUGACAGCAGCAGUGAAAAUGCCAGUGAACACGUUAGAAGUUUUAUGGCUCUAAAAAGG